CUUGGUUGAACACCAGUAGCUGCUCAAAUCAACUGUCCUGAGAACCACAGAGUGACGUGAUGCUGUUUCUUCUUCUUUUGGUGUCAUUGGUUUGCUCUGGACUGUCAGUGGAGAGCCAUGGAAAAUACUUCAUCACGGCAUUCCCAGAAAACAUUGCCUACUACCAUCCACAGGAGUCUUCCAACACUCUCCAAAUUACUGCUUUCUACGACGACACCCUCGUCUCAAUCAGCAUCAACUACACAAACGUAUAUAAUGAUAAGCUACAGUCUGGGCAGAUUAAAAUUGUACAUUUUCCCAAGUACAUCGAGCAAUAUCAGUUCACAAACUCCUCUCUUUUAGUCAAAGUCCACAGCACUGAAAAGAUCGUGGUGCAGUGGCUCAGUAAACGCGGCGAUAGCGUGCAGUCUAACGUCGUUCAACCUGUUAGAAAUCUCGGAAAGUGGUAUUCAAUCCCAUUUAUCAAUUACAAUCAGAUGAUGGCGUCCUUGUACAAUAUGUCAGAUCAGUUAGCUCCAGACAACUGGAGAUACAAUUCAUUCAGGCUGAUCAUUAUCAACGCCGAGCAUGCUGUGAACUUAAUCACUGUGCGUACUAUCAGCACGUAUGGUCAAGAAGCAUUUAACAUUACUCUCAGACCUUACGAACUUUACCAGUUCCAAACUAACGGUUCGGACAUUAAACUGUACUCUAAUGCCAUCAUGGCUGUGCUGUUAACCCACCCGUGUGUAGAAACUACCGUAUGUGAUUGCACUAUGGUGGUGAGCCACGUUCUCCCCGAAAAGCUGUGGGGUGACACGUUUGUCGUGCCAUUGGUGAAGAACCUGAAUACAGCCUGGCUGCAAGUGACUAACACAACGGAAGUAUGGCUCAAUGGCAGGAAUAUAAAAACUCAACAGUCCAAUUCCUCAGAGCUAAUUCCCUUCCCGGAACUUAAGAGUGCAUCUCAGUUCAUCAGUGCAUCAAAUGAGGUGUCCAUCAGACUUAUCAGUCCAGGCCUCGUCUUAGAACUCAUACCAGAAACCAUGUUCGCUGCUUGUUACCUGGUUCAGAUGAACUCGACAGAGGGUGAGGCUGUUAUCAUAGCUGAAACAGCCAGUAAGGACAAUGUGUAUAUAGACAAGAAAUUACUGAGAUCCAACGACUGGAAACCCAUUCCCUAUUCAAACUACUCUUCCAUAUCUGUGUCACUUAAUGGUGUGCAUAUCAUCUGGCACCCAACCUCCAAGAUCGGAGUGUACAGGUUUGAGAAGAUGGAGAGUGGAAUUCCUUAUGGAAGCCCAGCUAUCAUUUUAAACGAAGACCCAGAUCUUGAUGGCUGUGUGGCAGAUUCUGCACAAUUUAAGACCACUACUGAUGUCAUGACAUGGUCCCAGUCCCGUCAUUACUGCCUAAAUAUAUCUUACCAGCUGAGCACACCAAGCAGUGAAAUGUCCCAAAAAGAGAUGACCAACUUUCUGCAAAACAAUGGAAGUCGCGGGUACCUCUGGAUCGGUCUGCGACGCAGUCAGUUCAUGUCAGAGUGGUAUUGGCAGAAAGGCAAUGACAGCGAAUACAGUGUGAACUACACGAAGUGGGCUGAUGGGCAUCCAGAUAAGCCCUGGAAAGCUUGCGCUGCUGUGUCCCAAGAUGCCAACAAGGAGUUUUCCUGGAAGAGUUUGCCCUGUUGCACCAAGCUAAGGCCCAUCUGCUACAAAGGCAAAUACUAUAGUGAUGUGACCUUUAAUACACUAUAUGAUCAUUAUAGCAUUACUUCCCCAAAUGUCUGUCCUUCUUGCCAAAAUUCUUGACCUGAAGUUAGUAACUGCAAUAAUAAAUCAUAUUACAAAAGUUUAAUCA
ensembl:lncRNA